CAUUCAGCAGUCUAGGCCCUUGCAUCAGCCCUGGUGUCUGGCCUCCGGUGAACUUCAUGCCACUGAUUGCAAUCCUUUGAGCCUGGCAGUUCAGACAUCUUUCCGUUCAUCUCACCGUCCACUUCUCUAGCCUGUAUUUCAUCAAUUCUUUAUCAUGCAAUCUAGUCAUCAGCUUUAUAGUGGGAAGGACAAGAAGUCAUAGCCAUAAAUUGCAACUAGGGAGAUUAAUAUUAGACAAAAGAAAAAGGCUUUCCAAUGUUGGCGACAGUGAAGCACUGGGACAAGUUUUGUGACAAGGUAGUAGAUAGAACAGAUGAUCCAUUAAGGUCAUCUCCAGCCUUUUUUUCUUUGAUCCUUAAUAAGAUUUUCAGAAACAUCAACUCUGUGUAUUUAUCCCUCAGUAUGAGCUAAAGUGGGACUUGAUUAAGUGAAUGGUCCCAGUAACUGCUUAGGAAAGAGUGAAAGGUAAAACAGUGGAAAGACAUUUUCACUUUAAAGCAGAUGUAUGCUCCAAGGUGGGAACUGCCUCAGCCCACCCUGACACCACUUGGGGGUUUGAAGCUCAGGCUGAGACCUCUUGCACCACAGGAGAAUUUUUUUAUUCAGAACUGAAAUAUUCCCAUAUUCUUUAAGCAUCUUGGUUAUCUAUUAGUGCACUUCAGCAUAUCAAGGAGAGUUGUUUAUUUGCUAGAUUAAAUAUAAUCACACGAGUAUAAGGAAGAGCAAAACAGAAGUAACCAUUAUGGCGCGUGCUCCUGCGGAGGGGAAUAGAGGCUGGGGCUUGGGAACAAAAUAUUUUUUCCCUUGGGCAAGCAGGAUUGCCUGUGUCUCUGGCCCAGAUGGAGAAACAAUUGUCAGUAGCAGGAGAACCUGGAGAAUGUAGAUUGUUCUGCAGUCAAGGGAUGUACUGUUGGUGCCUACAAACAGAUAACCUCUCUUUCUAGAGGUUAACCUCACUGCAGCUGAUAUGGUGGAUAUAAACAAAUCCAGAGCCCUGGGGUGCAGCUGAAUCUGAUGGAGGCAAGCACAUCUUUACUCCUGUGAAAGUCUAGCUGACUCCUGUCUACAACUCCGUGUCUGUCAUUUGCCUCCUUCCCAUAUUUGCAAGACAGGGGUUCCUGUUACAAACUUAAUGGUUUUUCCAGACUGAAUAUGCUAUGAUUUCUGCACCAGCCUACUGGGAGAUGGCUCCACAUAGCCAGUAUCUCUGCUUACUUUGCGAUAGCUUCCCUUGAGUCGCAUACUUCACACAGCGCCCCUGGGGUCACUUUUUUAUAGGUUUAAGCCUUUGUCCAGGCCCAGGAAUAAGAUAAGCAGUGAAAGCGCAGAAACGCCUUUCUUCUCUGAUCCCUGUCUGAGGGCAAUGGGCAUCUGGGCAGUCUUUAGUUGGGCCAAGAGACUGUGGAAAGGAGGAGGAAGAGACACUGCCCAAUUGAAAACGAGACAAAUGUUCAGUUCGUUAUCCAAUUCCUUCUUAGAAGGGAAAACCCAGAGUUAGGUGUGUUGAUUUCGAGGCAUGCUGGUGGGGGUUGGUGCAGGAGCACACAUUCUCCUUAGCUCCAACACAGAGUUUUGGUGCAAGUUGAGACUUGCAUGUUCGGGGCUUUAGUUCUGCAUGUGAGAGAAAAGGAUGGCACACUCUGUUAAGAGUCUGAAUCAGAAGUGAUUCAUACUCAGAUAUUUCAUAUGGGUGCCAUAAAAUGACUUGAAGAGAAACUAAAGUGAAAUAUGAGGCUGGAUGAAAGGGAAAGGACCACAUAGUGAUCCACCCACUUUUAAGCCCAGAAGAGACCAUUAUUGCAAUUCAGUCAGACUUCUCCCACAGCACAGAACUCAGGACUUAACUGAACUCCUACUGCAGAGCAAGAGCUGCGAUUGAACUAGAGCACUAGCGUAUUUCAAGAGAAACUGCCCAACUUGAUCUUGGAGAGAAAAUGAAAUGGAAGAAUCCACCACUGCCUAUGGCUCAUCUCUGAAUCCUCUCUAGGGUUUCAGCCUUGCCCUGUGGACCCAGUCUCCAGAUGUACUGUCCCAAGGCUGGUCAUGCUGGUGCUGAGCACAGCUGUAAUGAAACUUUCUGAGGUUUCUUCACCCUGGGGUGUUGAGGAGCUUCAGAGAAUUCUGCAAGCUAAAGGAAGCCUGAGGCCAUUUGUCUUUAAUACUGGACUCAAGGGCUGUAGAGACACUGAACCUGCAGGCAUGAUAGGCAAGACCCCAGUGCAGCCAGCAACCCCAUAUCAGAGCAUGCCAGCACCUUUCCUGCCAGCACUCGGGAACUGCAUUGUCAGGCUCUUAUGGGGUACACAGUGCAUGGGAUACACAGUGAGCAACGUUCCAGGAUGCUCUGGAGAUGUCUCUAUCCAGCAGCCAGCAGCUGCCAAAACUCCAACUGCAGCAUUCUCUGCACCCCAGACCACUGGCAGGAAUACUAAGAAAAGGCAGAGGCUGAAUGCAAAAAGUGUUCAGACCAAACUGGGAUAUUCAGAUUACUGAAAGCCUGCAUGUAUUCCUUUGAAUGCAGCAGUGACAACAGCACAAAGUAUUUCCGGUGUUACUGUAACAGCUUUCCUGGGGGCCUUUGUCCUAGACAAGGUUCUGUCAAGGGUAUUAGAAAUAUCAGAAUAAACAAAACAAUAUGGAAAGAUAGGGAGCAAUUUGUCAUCAUCUUCUGCUGUUAUAACCAGUUCUCUCAUGAUCUCCAUUACACUGAUGCCCCAUUUGACUCAGCCUUUUAAGGUACUUGUCCUCAUAACACCCUGGUGAGGCAAGGGAAGUGCUGCAGAUGGGCACAGACACUAGGUCUGUGUUAAUAAAAUUAACAAACGUUCGCAGGGCUGUCUGGUGCCCCCAAAGCCAGAAGCACAAUCUGGGUUGUGAUUGAUCACAGAGUCACACCUAAAUGGAACCACAAGAAGUGGCUCACUGCUUCCUAUGUUACCUGACCCAUACCAUGCUCAGACAGUGGUCAGGAAUUAAGUACUACCUGGCACAAGCCAAAAGGACGAUGAACAUAAUAAACAGUAGAGGCAAAUGUGCUGUUGAUCCUAGGCCUUCAUCUCAUUUAGUUUUUUGGGCAGGGGUAUAACCAGAGAAGCUAUGUCUUGUUUUCCUGCAGAUAUUGCCCUCUCUCAUCUCAAAUUCAGCCAGACAUUCUAGGUAAGCACACAAAUAUUUUCGUAGACAUUGUCCCAAUCAUGUAGCCCACCAUCAUGUGGGAAAUCUAUGACAGAGGAAGAAACUUAACCUGCAUUAGUCUGGCUGCUGUACUCAGGCUGCUCAAGGGGAUGAAGUGAGAUACCAGAAACAGGCAAGGUGGGACCUGUGCUCAUCAUGGCAGGGGUCUGCCUUUUCUUCAUUUGUCUGCAAAGCACAUAGCUGUGGCCUUGUGUAAAUAAUGCAUAACAUGCACGGUCAUAUUUCCUACAUGUCCCUGCUGGCACAGAAGGCUUCAGUAGGAAAAUGUCAUUGCUGAUCAUUAAAAGACAACAAACUCUUCAAUUACCAAAAUAAAUAAGUGGUAUGUUGUUGGCUCUUACAGUGAGUAGGAUCCUACAUGUUGUGGGUUUUUUUCCCCAUGUGUGCACCUUCAGCAAAUUGAUUUGAUAAAAACCAGUUCCAGACAUCACCUUAUUUCAAGUACAGUUACCUAGGAAACCGCAAUGUACUGCUGGGACGAGCUGCCCGCUCCUGCUCCAGUUGGAGCUAUUACACACAUCAGCUCUUCCUUCAGGAAGAGCAGAAUGCUGUUAAUGCAGACUUCUAGCCUCUUUAUGCAGAUACAGGCUGUGCAUGCGUGCGAAGACAGACACACAGUUACAAAUGCCUGUGGGAGGGAGACACACAUACUAUCCACACCUACGUCUGCGUACUAAAAAUUGCUCAUUUAACUAUGAGCCCACAUGUAGAUGUUGUACCUACCUACAGCAUAUGAAUGCAUAGAUCUACACAGUAGCUGUGUGUACAUAUGCACGUAUACACAUAUGCCUACGCAGAGUGGCUGGUGUGUGUGUGUCUGCUUGUACACGUAGGUGUUGCUUCUCAUGAAAUGACUUCAGGGCUUCUACAAAAUUGUAAUUUUAUUUGUGGAUCUGAGAUAACAAGGUCUUUUUUCUUUUUUUUUUCCAGUGGACUCAUUUUUGAAAGAGGAAUUCAACCUGCCCAUUCUUGGCAAGAUAAUGUUGAACAAGAUGGGCAACACACUGGCUUCAGCACGGCGGCUGAGGUUGCUUCCCUGGAGCUUAAGGACUCAGACACAGCAUUCAAUGGCAGCAACUUAAUGCUUAUUACUUACCACCAGGCAUAAGGCAAUAAAAACAGCAAAGCUAAGAAGCACAAAUUUUAGUUAGGAGUGGUUGACCUACCCUUUGCAAACACCAAGUGCACUCUUGGGCAAUUCACAAACAGGAAAAAGAGACGAGGUCAAUGAUCAACUCAUUUAUUGUGUCUUGACCCAUCUUACUGACUCUACAGUUUGCUCCUGAGCUCUUGUGGCUAAAAUCUCUUCACGCAGCAGUGUUUGGGAUUUGCUGAUUGAGCACAGAUCAAGGGCCUCUCCAUCACAAGGCCUCCCAGACUCACCUUGCAGGCUGGCUGGCUGAUUUUUAGUGGAUUGAUGAAUGAAUUAGGACACUGAGUCUCACUCUGAGCACAAGGACUAGAGAUCUCCAUUCAGAUUUUCAGGCUAUAUCAGCUGUACAGAGAUAUUCAGAAGAGAAAUUUGCUGUGGCACAAGGACACUUUGGGGCAGUAAGAAAAAGCCCUCCACCACAACAACAGAAGGACAUAUGAGCAUUAGCUUGUAUAGGGGCAUGGAGUUUGCCAUGGAGAGUCCCGCAUGGAUCAGAAAGUGGUCCAGACACAAGACCUCUUAGAAACCAGUCCAGUCAUUAAAAUGGACACUCACAUGACUCUAAAAAGUGAACAAACAAGUCAUACAGUCUGCUGUGAAGUCCCUCAGCUCCUUUAGUGAACAAAACAGAGCACAGAGGGAAUAACCUCUGCAAAAUGCCAGUGAUUUUGUACUGUUCAGCCUGUUCUGGUGCACUGAAGAGCAGCAGACUUUCCUGAGCCCUCAUAACCUAUAGCUUUUGUCCAUCUACACAAAGGAUCUCUCCUCUGCAACUCUCCGCAGCCCACAGAGGAAUAACACUAGCUUCUUGAUCCUGUCACUAAUGUUGAAGAAAAUGAGAGACAAACACCAGAUAAUGUCAUCUGAUGACUACAAGAGAAAUUAGUGAUGUGGCUUAUUUCGAGUGGAAAGGACCAGGAAAACCUGACUUUUGUAGCUCUUCUCUGGAACCCAAAUCAGACACACACACGCUUGGUGAAGACUACUACUGCAUUGGGCUUCUCUUCUCUUCCCAGAAGUGCAAGUUUCCUCUGGAUGUCUGUCCCUCACUGGAGAUAUGAGAGACUUGGUCCAAAACAGUUUAUUUCUCAUACAUGAGUGAAUAUCUAACUGCCCAUCUUCAAUCUGACUGAUGACAACCUGUACAACUUAGCAAUCUUCCUUCUUCGUUUGUGGAUCUGAUAGAUGGCUGCUCUUCAUGAGUGCUGCAUGCCAAAACAGGCAACACUCUGCGGUGAGCAACAUCUGUAGGAGAAAGUCUAUAUGAGAGUGAAAAGGUAUUUUCCCCAACUUGUUCUGCAAGGACAAUUCAAACAGCGUAUCCCAUCAAAAUGCUGGUUUAGUGUCCUUUGGUUUCUUUCCUUUGUCCUUGCUGACCAAGAAAAGACAAUCCCAUUUCUCUUUCCCAAAACCUCAACAGUAAAAUUCAUUUCAGAUCAUCUCCAUGAGCUGACUGGAUAGAAGAACCUCUCAUCAACAUAUUCAUUACAUUGCAUUCAUUCCUCUAAGAUAAUGAAUCAUGUAUCCUCGGACUUGCCUGCACUCGAAAGUUCUCACUGAUCAAGGCCAUCACAGGUAUCUACAGAGACAAUUGCAGAGGCUCCCAAGUCAAUGCUCAGUGAAAAGCAGGUGCUUCCAGAAGGCAAUGCCAGGCUGGGCUGUGUUCUUCCAGGGAACACACAGACUUGUACCACUCAGACUUGUCCCAUUCAGACCUGUGACAACUGGACAUGGAUCUGUGACUGCCUUUGUGCUGGCCUCUACACCAACCACCUGUGAGCUGAAGAGUGGCGAGUCCCCCUUUCUCCAGUGCCGUGGGGUGGCCAAAGGCAACUCUGUGAGGGUCAUUCCUGCCUUGCAACUCACACAGUGCUCUACUGCAGCUGUCAUCUGGGCUCAGCCUGUUCUGGGGACCCGAGCAUUCCAGAGAGGACACAGAAAGGGUUCUUCAGAGGCAGGCUGGUGGAACAGUUUCAGAGUGUGGAGGCACAAGUGCAGGAGGAAGAAGAUAUACUUCUUGAUACAAGUGCAUACCACCAAGCCUGUACUUCAGCGAGGACAGAUAAAGGUGUUGGGAUACAGCACAAAACCCACCCAAAAUGGCCUAAGACUAUUUUCACAGUUUUCUUUUUUAAUUUUUUUUCUUUCAAGAAUAACCUUCUCAUCAAUCCAACCCUGAGAUAGUUAACACCUGGGACUAAAAACUACAUCUGAUGCAUAUCUGCACAGUAGGCUAAGAACAAAACAUUUUGUUUGGGUCUUGAAGUCCACAACUCAACAGUUACUUAAGCUUGAAGAUCAGCAACUACAACUCCAGCUGAUAACACUGGGAACUGAGAAGAUCUCAUACCUUUGAAAAUGAAUCCCAGAGAGACUCAGAGAAUUUCCAUUAGUGCCAGAAACCAAAUGAAACUUCCUGAUGGUUGCGUUUUGUAUUUGGAGUUUCACUGACCUGGAAAAUAAUACAUAGAAUAUAUAUUCCAUGUAUUCCUCAGGCAGCUUCCAUGUGGUCAUCUCCUGCACUGACGGCAAUACUCCUAGCUGCAGUCAGUGAAUUCCUUUGCUCUAAAUUUGUCCUCCAGAGCUAUAUCUCUCCAAAGAUAUAACAUGACUUAGAACUCCACUUUUAUGAUCAUAGAAGAUUUUGUUCUCACUCUAGUCUUUAACAGGUGCAUCCUGAGACUAAGCCCAUUUUAGGAACCUGUCAGAGGAAAAGAGCUAAAAUGAGUUGCUAAAGCUGCUGUCUGACCUUUAAGUACAUACUUAGAGCUCCAUUUCAGGGCUCCACAGGCCCAAGGGCUUUCUUUUCUCAGUGCCAAACUCAGAGUUUGUGCAGGUCUAUUUUGACUCUGGCUCCUCCGAAAAAGGAGCUGAGUCCACAUACUAAAGCCAAAAGCUGUCUGCACAGAAAAUUGUGGGAAAACUUUGCACAUCAGCAAGUAACUUUCCCGUACACUAAGUGGAAAUAUUCAGGGUAAGCCUUUUCCUCUUGAUUAUGUUUUCUCCUACACCUUGUUCUUCUGAAGCAGCUCCUGUAAGUAACCCGAGAUACGAAAUUUGCAUUCCACAGUGUAAAAAUACUAAAGCUCCAUUGCCUCAUAGUCUGCUUCCUGUGCUGAGAGUCCAUCAGCUCUCCAGGACGUGCUGUCAGGAGACACUGUCUAGGAUAGAGUUUGACAUUUGGAGGUCUCAGCGGAUCACAGUUAUGAUUGGUGAGGAGAAUAUAGUUCACAAAGCUGCUUGGGAAAGGUGUGUUGGAAAAGAAGAGGAACCAUGGGGGAGAAGGGCAGCCAGCUGAAGAUGUGGUGAAUCUGACUGAGAGAACUUUCCUCCUGCCCAAGUCAGGAGCUGACACCAGCCACCUGUCCACUUGGAUUAGAGAUGUUUCUCUGACCUUUUAAGGAAUGGAUGCCACCAGGCAAGAAGGGAGCCACAGCCAGAGCCUGUGCUUGUAUGACUGGUACCUAAAAUGAUACCAUAGUGGCGUUUUUUCAAGUGUCCCCCUUGCCACAUAAGUGACUGGAGUAUUUGCUAACACUGCAUAAACACAAGGAGGCUCUCAACAUUUGUCAUCAUUUCUCAAUGGAGAAAUGUUUCACGGUCAAUCCUGGCACAGAUCAGACUGCCCAGUGGGAUGGUAGUCUCUGGAGGAGGCACCCAUGCUAUGCAUCUUAGAGCAUGUCAGCUCUCUUCUUCUCCUACUUGGAUGUCAGACUGGAGAUGCUGGCCCAAAAGUGGAAAAUGGUUUUCACUUCUUGUCCCCAGCUGGCAUAAGGUGCCUUAAGGAACAAUACACGUAGACAAGUUUUAGCCAAAAUGUUAGCAAGUUCAGUCACUGGCUUCCUUGGAACACCCCCUCUCUGCAUAGCCGUAUCUCAGGCUUGGUUAACUCUGAACUACAGUGAUGGCAAGCUUAAGGGACACCUAAAGGGCAAAAGGCAAAGAGGGCCAGGAGAGCUGGAUGUUUUUCAAGAUGGGAUUAUUAAGGGCACAGGAGCAGGCUGUCCCCAUGUGCUGUAGAGACAAACCGACAGGGAAAAUGACCGGCCCGGCUGAGCAGAGAGCUUUUGCAGAGACUCACAAAAAAAAAAAGGAGAGCUUAUCACCCUUGGAAGAAGGAGUAGGUGACUCAAGAAGAGUACAGGGAUCUUCUUACGUCGUGCAGAGAGAAAUAUAGAAAGGCGAAAGCCCGGCUAGAACUCAUUCUGGCCAAUGCUGUAAGAGGUUAAAAAAAAUAUUUUUUUAUGAAUACAUUAAUAACUAAAAGAGAGUAAAAGAGAAUCUCUGUCCUUUAUUGCAUGGUGGGGGGAGAGGGAAUCAUUGCCACAAAGGAUGACGAAAUGUUGAGGUGUUAAAUGCCUCCUUUGCCUCGGUCUUUAAUAGUCAGACCAGUUAUCCCCAGGGUAUUCAGGGAGCUGGAAAACAGGGAUGGAGAGCAGAAUAAACCCCUCAUAAUCCGUGAGAAAGCAGUUAACAACUAGCUGGAUAGGAUCCACCCAAGAGUACUGAGGGAGCUAGCAGAGGGUCUUGACAAGCUCUUCUCUGUCAUUUAUCAGCAGUCCUGGUUAACAGGGGAGGUGACAGAUGACCGGAGGCUUGCCAAUGUGACACCCACCUACAAGAAGGACUGGAAGGUGGUUCUGGGAAACUACAGGCCUGUCAGCCUGACCUCAGUGCCAGGAAAGAUUAUGGAGUGGUUCAUCUUGAGCACAUUCAUGAGACGUGUGCAGGACAACCAGGUGAUCAGGCAUGGGUUCAUGAAAUGCAGGUCCUGCUUGAUCAACCUGAUCUCCUUCUAUGAUCAGGUGACCCACCUGGUGGAUGAGGGAAAACCUGUAUAUGUUAUUUACCUUGACAAUCGAAAAGCCUUUGACACUUUAUCCAACAGCAUUCUCCUAGAGAAGCUGCCUGCUCAUGGCAUAGACAGGUGUACUCUUACUGAGUAAAACACUGGCUGGAUGACUGAGUCCUGAGGGUUGUGGAGAUUGGAGCUAAAUCUAGUUGAUGGUCAGUCACAAUUGGCUCCCCAGGGCUCAGUGUUGGUUUCAGUUCUGUUUAAUACCUUUAUCAGUGAUCUGGAUGAGGGCAUUGAGUGCUCUCUCAGUAAACUUGCAGAUGACAUCAAAUUGGUUGGGAGUGUUGAUCUGCUCAAGGGUAGGAGGCAUCUACAGAGGGAUCUGGACAGGCUGGAUCAAUGAGUCCAGGUAAAUUGUAUGAGCUUUAACAAGACUAUUCUGUAAUUGUGUGAUUUUUAAGUUAUUAGACAUGAGCGAUAUUUCUGAUGGUUGCCUGGUUGCUUGUUGUGGAAACACUGCUUGGGAUAGUUGUGUAGUAAGUGUCUUGAUGUAAGCAGGUCAAUUUUUUUUUGUUCAGAUGGGUUUGUUUUGAGUGCUGUAAGUCUUCUAUUUAUUCACCUUGCUAUUAAGGUUGAGUUCUCCAGACACUUCAGUGCACAUUACCUUUUCUUAUUGUCUCAAUAUUUUCUUCCAAGAUAGCAUCACUGCAGACCUCUUAGUCUUUGCUCCAAAGAGCCAAGAACAUAAGGAUUUAUGCAAAACCGUACAACAAGCAGUUUGCAUAAUAAGUGCCCACUGUCAAAGUACCUCAUUACUUACUGGGCACUCUGCUCAGGCACGACAGUUAUGCUGUGGUCUAUAGCGCAUCUGUACUUGUACCAAGUGAUGAAUUUGGCCACUCAGUCAGAGGACUUGUUCUUGCAGAUAACCUAAACCAGCAAGGCUGAGUGAAGACAGCACUCAUUGCCAUGUGGGCACUCCAGCCUGGAUACAACCAUGGCUCUGUCAUAGGAUGCAAAACCUUGCUGCAGUGCAUACUGCUCGCAGCAGCGAGAAGCACGGCAAUCAUCUGAAAGUAACCAUUCCCUACAGGUUAACUUAAAUUUAUGUUGGUUUAAUUUAAGACAGUCGGGAACAGUUUUCAAGCUGAAACAAUAAAAACCACUCCUAAAGUGAAAUAAUAGAUGUGGAAUAAUUAAAUAACAGAAAAUAUUGACAUUUGGCAAUAAUUACAAAGAUGUACUGUCCACAAAAAGUUUGCUGCUGAUGAAAUGGAACCAAAACAAGUUUCUAUGUAGACUAUAACCCCAAGGCAUAUAACUCUUAGGCAUGUUUGAGAAGAGGGUUCACUGACCUCAAACUCUACUUGAACAGGGCAGGAAUUCCACAGACCAGAUAAUUUUUUACCUUGUGCUUUAUCAAGAAGAAAGUUGAGGCAGGCUUACAGGCACAAAACACAUGCUUUAUUCACUGGUUUUGUAGUUGAUGGCAUACAUCAAGUCCAAGGUUAAAGGGAAAAUUGUCCCCAAUGGCCAACCAAAAAGAGAUAUAGUUGGCGAUCCUCAGAUGAACAUCCUGCCUCAGAUGUCUGCUCCAGUGCGGCAAGGGAUCAUAGUCAUACCAGCAACCACCCACUAUAAUUUUCCUCUGGUAAAAUUACACCCUUCAUUAAAGCCUGUUCAAGUUGCCUUUCAGUGAUCUUUCCCUGAUAACAACAUUGGCACUGCUGGAUUAUGCUUAACUAGGUACAAAUGUUGCACUCUAAUUGUCUGCUAAGCUUUGGACACAUCUGUAAUUACAUAAUGCUUAUCAUAUAUUAAAAUUACUAUUAUUCAAUAUCAUUCAAUUAUUAAAAUUACUAUUAUUACUAUAUAUCUGUUGUAUUUGUUCUAAUAUGGAGUCAUCAGUCUAAAAGUCAUCAAGUGGACAAGGUGGAAGAACUUCAGUGCAGAUUACAAAUUAUAACUAGACAGCAAUGCAAUAAGAAGGUAGAGGACAAGAGGACAAAAGGACAGCUGAAGCAUAAGAAAACAAGCCCUUUCUUGGGGAAUUUGACAUAACAAAUGCAUUGGUGCAAGGCCAUAAGGAAAAGACCAUUGACAUACCAGGCCAAUAGGCUGCCAUAGCAGCCCCAGAACAUGUAAGUGAAAGGCUAUAAGCAAAAAAAGCCCUCUAAAAACUGCAAAGGGAGGGCCUUCACCAACAGGCAAGUACAAGCACUUAAGCACCGUCCAACAUUUGGAUAAUACAACUGCCUCUGAGCCUCGCAAAAAUGAUGUAGUAAUAGGGAGGGGGGUUUUGAGCUUAUCCUGCGCUCCAGGUACACCCAGAGUUUCAAACUAGCUGUGCAUUUGGCAUACAGAAUUUGAUAGGAAGGUUUGAGCUUUUAUUUUCUAGUUUUCAUUAAGUACAUGACCUGCCAUAGGCGGGGAAGAUUAAAGAGUAAGGAACACCUAUAUCUAGAAAGAAAAAAAGCAGAGGUCAGGAGCCAAGUGUCAGUGACUGCAUCAGGUGCAAAAAUACAAUUAGUGACAUAACUACUGAAAUAAAAUACCAAUUUAUAUGAGUAUUCACUAUAUACUUUUGACAGCCUCAAACAUUGUGCAUUAUCAAAUAAAAACAGGAUGACAACUCUCUAAUUAGUAAAGAAGGAAUACUAGAAUCAUUAAAGCUCAUUUAAUGGAUUUUAUUCUGUAAGAUACAAAGACAGAAAAGUUUUUAGUGCACAGAGGUUAAGUGCUGAAAAAUACCCAGUAAAAUCAUGCAUAUAUUUGCAGCUAUUAAGACACAUAGCAGCUUUUCUAGAACACAAAUGUGGUACACAGAGUAACAAAUCCUGCAGCAGCACCAUGGAAAACUUUGGUCUGAAGGAGAGAGAGGUAAGAGGAUCGUUCCCUCUUGGACAAGACCCAACUCCCUUCAGAUACUGCAGGUACAAAGGGUGCGUGUUAGCUGUGUCUGUGUCUUCCUCUGGUCAGUAGACAGAAAUGGGUACCGGAGACAAUUCUCACUAUACAAAUAGCCACUUACGGUGCCUGGUGGUGAGGUGAAUGCGAGUGAUUUUUCUCCCCUAGUGAUUUUCCCAAGAGAACUUGCCAUCACCUGGAGAAUAUUUUCUCUAGCAUACCUCUCCAAGGUUGACCCUUUAAAUGUGCAAGAGUUCUGCAGCCACAAGACAGUGAUUUUUUUUCUCUUCAAAACAUCUUCACUUUCUCUCCCACCUUCCCUCUUUCCUCCCAGUGCUUAGAUCCUUUUUGCUAGCAGGAUGGCAUUUUUUUUCCCCCGUUGCUAUGUUGGUAGCCUAGUUUCCGAAGGAAAGGGCGUUUAUGAGACCACAUUGUCUGUUCAAGUGCCAGUCAGUCCCUCCUAAAUAAUUUUCAGGCCUGUGAGCUGAGUUUGAUCAAACUUGACAGGGGAUGGAAGUCUCAAAGGUUUGAGUUGCCUACAAGUGCUGUGAAAGUGGGCAGACAGAGGAGAAAAAUCCUAGGAGUGUGUCCACUGCAGAAACACAACCGUAUUACUAGGCACCAGAGAGUCCUCUUAGGAGACAGUCAUUACCAUCGGAAGAUACAAUUUCACAGAUUCAGCAGCUCACUUGAUUAACAGAUGAGCAAAAUGUUCUUCUCUCCUUCUUUUAGAGCGCAAGUCUUACAGCUACAGAGCAGCAGGGGGAGAAGCCCAGAAAUGGCAAGAUGGCAGAGUGAAUUUAGAGCUGACUGCUGCUGCUUCUUACACCAGUGCUCAUGUGGAAGUCUGCUUUAAUUCCCUUUAACUCCAGUAUCCCCAUUUGCAUGAUCUAGUUAACACAAAUGAUGAGAUCAAAAACUUCAGACCAUGGAUUAAUGUGAGAGGAGCAAGUCCAAUAUUGCCCUGAGCUGGCACAGCCCCACCGUAGUUGGUGAAGCUGCCUUAUAGUGGGCCAUCACUUCUAAGUGCAGCUCCAUGGCUAAGCAUCUGGCUCAUUUUCCUUUGCAUUUGUCUAUAUUGCAGUUGCUAAUAGCAUUUUGUUUCACAUGGGCAUAAGUCAGACCAUAAGUUGAAGACCAACAAAAGCUGUGCCUGCUGCAUAGGCUGGCUCUCACUUAUUCCCGACAUGGCUUUUCCAAGAAAGCCAGCCACCUCAGGACUGCCUGACUAGCGAACCUGAACAAGCUCCUCACAAUGCCUUGUUAACACUAGCAAUGGGGAAAAGCAAGCUAUUUGUGCAGGUGGGAUUCAAAGAGAAGCUGAAAUCACUUAGCUUAUGGAAAAAAAACCAAAGUAACCGCAGCUGACAUCAACAUGGAGACUGGGGAGUUGUGCAACUUUGUGCAUUCAAUGAAAUAUUGAUGCCUUUUUCUUCUCCUAAGUCCUUUAAGUUUUGACAAGCCAGAUCUCUGAUUUAGGUGGAGAGAGCACAUAUCAUGACACCUAAGGAAAAGAGAGGGAAGGGAAAGAAAUGAACCAUUGAUGCCCAGCAAAACAGGGAACUCACCAGCAGUGUGACAUGGCUGAAAAUGGAGAUCUCCACAAGAAGGACAGGUAUUGCAACUUGUCCUCGACAGCCUAGCCAAGGGCACAGGCUGAAAUUGACGGUCUGGAACACCUACUGCGCAGCAUCUGCAUCAGGUCGGUAUGCUACAACAUUCUUUAAAACAAGGCUUCUUAGGAGGAAGAUGUGAACCGCGACUCUUGUGCUCUCAGAGCUGAAUGUGUUCUGUUACAUAGCAGAUCUAUGAAGCCCCAGCGAAGCAUCUUUUACCUAUUAUUUGUUGUCAUUUCAACCCAGAUGUUUUUCUUCCGAUGAAAGCAAAAGGAUAAAAUAAGAUUGUCCUAAUUAAUAAUGCUUACAUCCUCGCGUAGCAUUUUUCACCCACCAAAGAUCUCGUGGUACUACUCCCACUUAAUAGACAGUAGAAGUGAGGAUGAGAGAGAUCAAAUGAAAUGCCUUGGCAACAGAACAAAACUGAGUCUUGCAUCACAGGUCCAGUAAAAGGGCCAAGGGUACCUCUUAAGUCCUAAUAAAGAGCAAAUCUUAGGAUAGUUUUCUGACAUAUUGGAUCCUUAAAUAAGGUGUUGUGAAACAAUUGUGGCUAAUGCCCCAUACUAACAAAAUAUGUUUUGGAUUUUUCAUCUAACAACAUAAUUUAGGGAUUUCUUGGAAUAUAGGAAACAAAAUGGGGCAGUGGCAUUACAGGAAUCAUUCUUUUGUAAAGGCAGCUUGUGCCAGAGGACUGGAAAAUUGAAAGUGCCCCAAAGGAGCACAGGAAUGGAUAAGAUCUCUUUCACUAUCAAGUCAAAAUAAAAUGCAGAAAGGAGCCUAAGUGCUGAAUGAUCAAAUUACUGUAAAGCUUCUUGUACUUAAGAACAACUAUUACAAGCUCUGACUAAGACAGAUUCUAUACUGGACACAUGAUUUGACUCUUGAAGAGGUACAUUUGGCACAAUUAGACCACAUACCUAGCUAGUCCUGAAGAAAACCUUACUGAGAGUGUCUGCAGCAAAGAGGUGACAUAAGGGGGGAUAAAUAUGAUUAAAACAACUCCUGUCAAUGUCAGCAAUUUUUUUUCUUAUGUUUUCUUCCUUUCUUCCUUCUAUGUUUUUUCUCUGUUUGGUUGACUGGGUAUUUUUGUUUGUUUGUUUGUUUCCUGCCUUAGGGAGCACCAAUUUGAAUAUCCACUAGUUUCCAAAGCGUUAUAAAAAUGGAUUGUGUUAAAGUGGUAUUAAAGGAUGUACUGCCCAUCCACUCUUGAAUCUGCUGCUUCACAACAGAAAAGAUGCCAUGCAGAUUUGAUCUUUGAUGGCCAAGAGAUUCAGUAAGCUUUUCACAGUCCUUAGUAAACUGAUAUUAUAGGCAAGAAUCCUGGAGGCACGAAGUAUGAUGCACACACAAGCACUUCAUACCUUGGUGCAUGAACCUGGAGUUCAUAUUCGGGUACCAUAGCUGUCAGAAGCAAAACUUGUCAGAGCAUUCUAAGUUCUUACCAAGGCAAAAUGCAUAUUGACUUCAGAGGAUACUUUUUCCCAGAGAAGUACUGUGUAAAAAAAAAGUCAGGACUAGUUGUUUGUCCCCUGCAGCAACGCUAUCUCUCUUACUGAAAAGACUUCCUGCAUCUGUAGGCAUAGAUUUCCACUGAUGGACACCUGCACUCCGGUGAACUACCUGAACUCCAGCCUCACCCUGACCUUCAGCAGGCUAUUUCCAACUUUCCCUCCUAUCAGUUUAGGAGUAAAACAAAAAAACCCAAACAAAAUAAGACAAACAAUAAAAAAUAAAAAGCUAAAGCAGAGGUCACAGACUGGGUUUCUGAUCAUUUGAAUAAUUUGAAACAAUUUCUGAAGUAUAUCCUCAAAGGCAAAACCUAUGCUAGUGCUGCCUGCCUGUCCAUUAGCAAACUCGCGAGCAUGGGGCUUUGAGUAAUAUCUUCCAACACAGACAGAACACAGGGAUUUGAGGAGGAAGGAACAACCAGUAACUCACCAAUGACAGUGUUGCCUCACUCUCCCAUGUCACCUCCAGCUUUUCUUCUUACUGGUGGAACAGGACAGCAGAAGGUCCUUGUCCCAAAGCAAACAAAAACCCUUUGCUGUACCACCGCUGCAACAGGCCUUGGGUUGAAACUGUUUCUCUGGAAUGACAGCAGCCAGCUGGAAGCGUAUUUGCCCGUAGCAUUGUUGAUCAUCAGAUGCUGGUAGCCUAAAGCAACUCUUUUGGACAGCUAAAAUUGCAUCUGAUUUUGUAGUAAAGAUUCCUCUGCAGUCCCCCUCACUUCCCCCAUCACAAAACAAAGACAAACCCGCUUCUUUGCUCUGUGAUGACGAGGAAAAUGACUGAAAACCAACCUGGCUUGCCACAUCCUCCUGCUAGUCCUGCUAGCCACCUCCGGCACCAGCCUCACUCUGCAGCAGCCCAGUAAGCAGAAUCUGCAGCUAAAGCAGAGAAGAGGGAAAAGCUGGAGGAGGAGGAGUGAGGGGAAGGCAGAGAGGCUGCAUACCUAGAAAGCCAGGGUUAUUCCUGCUGCCCACCCUGGAGGCACCACCUCCACAUCAGGCAGGAGUAACAGAGGGAGAAUCUGACUCUCCUGAUUUAACAAGCUCACUUUCCUUUAGCUGGAGUCCUCAGGCAGUGCUGUAGUGCACCUAAUGGCACUAAUUAUUAAUGAAUCAGCCUUGAUGAACAGGAAGGCUGUACUAGCCUCUGUCUCUUUGGGUUGACAGCACUUCACAUAGUCUACUGGAUUUUACUGGGCAAGAAAGCAACUGCACAGACUUAAACAGGGCCCUGGAAAGGAAAAGGACUGAGAUAGUCACUGAUGCAUUUGUCCCUAGCCUGUGCAGACAAGCCAGGGUCGAACAAUGCCUUGCUGUGUCUUCUGGGGCAUAUAUAGCUAUCAGAAAGUCCUGUGAGACAAGGGUACUGCACCUUACUUUCACAACAUCCCUUCCUGCUCCCUCGAUAAGGACCAACCUGUUUGUCCUUGCUACCAUUCAGGCAGCUUCUCCUUACUUCUGUGUGUACCGGCUCAAGAUUUUGCUCCUAACACAGGCACUCUCCACCCCUCUGUUACAGCCUUUGAAAAGAGCAGAUGGGAAAGGGGGUUGCUUUUAUUUUUUUUCCC